CACGUAGGCACCAAGCGUUGUCCGGAUUUAUUGGGCGUAAAGAGCUCGUAGGCGGUUGAGUAAGUCGGGUGUGAAAACUCUGGGCUUAACCCAGAGCCGCCACUCGAUACUGCUCUGACUUGAGUACGGUAGGGGAGCAGGGAAUUCCUAGUGUAGCGGUGAAAUGCGCAGAUACUAGGAGGAACACCGGUGGCGAAGGCGCUGCUCUGGGCCGAAACUGACGCUGAGGAGCGAAAGCGUGGGUAGCAAACAGG
rnacentral:rRNA from 1 species